rnacentral:rRNA from 1 species
GAUGAACGCUGGCGGCGUGCCUAAUACAUGCAAGUCGAACGAAACUUCUUUAUCACCGAGUGCUUGCACUCACCGAUAAAGGGUUGAGUGGCGAACGGGUGAGUAACACGUGGGCAACCUGCCCAAAAGAGGGGGAUAACACUUGGAAACAGGUGCUAAUACCGCAUAACCAUAGUUACCGCAUGGUAACUAUGUAAAAGGUGGCUAUACUACCGCUUUUGGAUGGGCCCGCGGCGCAUUAGCUAGUUGGUAGGGUAAAGGCUUACCAAGGCAAUGAUGCGUAGCCGAAUUGAGAGGUUGAUCGGCCACAUUGGGACUGAGACACGGCCCAAACUCCUACGGGAGGCAGCAGUAGGGAAUCUUCCACAAUGGGCGAAAGCCUGAUGGAGCAACGCCGCGUGGGUGAAGAAGGUCUUCGGAUCGUAAAACCCUGUUGUUAGAGAAGAAAGUGCGUGAGAGUAACUGUUCACGUUUCGACGGUAUCUAACCAGAAAGCCACGGCUAACUACGU